UCCUACGGGAGGCAGCAGUAGGGAAUAUUGGGCAAUGGGCGAGAGCCUGACCCAGCCAUGCCGCGUGCAGGAAGACGGCCUUCUGGGUUGUAAACUGCUUUUAUAUGGGAAUAACAAGUCACUGCGGUGAAAACUGAAUGUACCAUAUGAAUAAGCACCGGCUAACUCCGUGCCAGCAGCCGCGGUAAUACGGAGGGUGCAAGCGUUGUCCGGAUUUAUUGGGUUUAAAGGGUACGUAGGCGGUCGAUUAAGUCAGUGGUGAAAGCCCACAGCUCAACUGUGGAACUGCCAUUGAUACUGGUUGACUUGAGUGCAGAUGAGGUAGGCGGAAUUUAUGGUGUAGCGGUGAAAUGCAUAGAUACCAUAAAGAACACCGAUAGCGAAGGCAGCUUACUAAACUGUAACUGACGCUGAGGUACGAAAGCAUGGGGAGCAAACA
rnacentral:rRNA from 1 species